UGGGGAAUAUUGCACAAUGGGCGAAAGCCUGAUGCAGCAACGCCGCGUGAGUGAUGAAGGUCUUCGGAUUGUAAAGCUCUGUCUUUUGGGACGAUAAUGACGGUACCAAAGGAGGAAGCCACGGCUAACUACGUGCCAGCAGCCGCGGUAAUACGUAGGUGGCGAGCGUUGUCCGGAUUUACUGGGCGUAAAGGGUGCGUAGGCGGAUGUUUAAGUGAGAUGUGAAAUACCCGGGCUUAACUUGGGUGCUGCAUUUCAAACUGGAUAUCUAGAGUGCAGGAGAGGAGAAUGGAAUUCCUAGUGUAGCGGUGAAAUGCGUAGAGAUUAGGAAGAACACCAGUGGCGAAGGCGAUUCUCUGGACUGUAACUGACGCUGAGGCACGAAAGCGUGGGUAGCAAACAGGAUUAGAUACCCUGGUA
rnacentral:rRNA from 1 species